CGCUACCUGCAGUCGACGGUAGCACAGAGAGCUUGCUCUCGGGUGACGAGUGGCGGACGGGUGAGUAAUGUCUGGGAAACUGCCUGAUGGAGAGGGAUAACUACUGGAAACGGUAGCUAAUACCGCAUAACGUCGCAAGACCAAAGAGGGGGACCUUCGGGCCUCUUGCCAUCAGAUGUGCCCAGAUGGGAUUAGCUAGUAGGUGGGGUAACGGCUCACCUAGGCGACGAUCCCUAGCUGGUCUGAGAGGAUGACCAGCCACACUGGAACUGAGACACGGUCCAGACUCCUACGGGAGGCAGCAGUGGGGAAUAUUGCACAAUGGGCGCAAGCCUGAUGCAGCCAUGCCGCGUGUAUGAAGAAGGCCUUCGGGUUGUAAAGUACUUUCAGCGGGGAGGAAGGUGUUGUGGUUAAUAACCGCAGCAAUUGACGUUACCCGCAGAAGAAGCACCGGCUAACUCCGUGCCAGCAGCCGCGGUAAUACGGAGGGUGCAAGCGUUAAUCGGAAUUACUGGGCGUAAAGCGCACGCAGGCGGUCUGUCAAGUCGGAUGUGAAAUCCCCGGGCUCAACCUGGGAACUGCAUUCGAAACUGGCAGGCUAGAGUCUUGUAGAGGGGGGUAGAAUUCCAGGUGUAGCGGUGAAAUGCGUAGAGAUCUGGAGGAAUACCGGUGGCGAAGGCGGCCCCCUGGACAAAGACUGACGCUCAGGUGCGAAAGCGUGGGGAGCAAACAGGAUUAGACACCCUGGUAGUCCACGCCGUAAACGAUGUCGACUUGGAGGUUGUGCCCUUGAGGCGUGGCUUCCGGAGCUAACGCGUUAAGUCGACCGCCUGGGGAGUACGGCCGCAAG
rnacentral:rRNA from 1 species